UACGUAGGGAGCAAGCGUUGUCCGGAAUCAUUGGGCGUAAAGCGCGCGUAGGCGGCCCUGUAAGUCCGCUGUGAAAGUCAAAGGCUCAACCUUUGAAAGCCGGUGGAUACUGCAGGGCUAGAGUCCGGAAGAGGCGAGUGGAAUUCCUGGUGUAGCGGUGGAAUGCGCCAGAUAUCAGGAGGAACACCAAUAGCGAAGGCAGCUCGCUGGGACGGUACUGACGCUAAGGCGCGAAAGCGUGGGGAGCGAACAGG
rnacentral:rRNA from 1 species